rnacentral:rRNA from 1 species
UACGUAGGGGGGCUAGCGUUGUCCGGAUUUAUUGGGCGUAAAGAGCGUGUAGGCGGCCAGGUAGGUCUGGUGUGAAAACUCGAGGCUUAACCUCGAGAUGUCAUCGGAAACCAUCUGGCUAGAGUCCGGAAGAGGAGAGUGGAAUUCCUGGUGUAGCGGUGAAAUGCGUAGAGAUCAUGAGGAAGACCAGUGGCGAAGGCGGGUCUCUGGACAGUUCCUGACACUGAGACACGAAGGCCAGGGGAGCAAACGGG